CUAUGGCCAUGUAACUUCCUGGAGACUAUCAUCUGUCCAGUGCAUCCACUCCAACCACAAUGGGGUCCCUAGGAUUUGGGGAGGUCUGCACUGCGGUUGCUGUAACAGUUUCUCAUGGAUGAGCCACUGGUGACUUUACCGAGAGCCAAAAUGGAGAGUUCUGCAGAAAACAUGUGCGGUGAGAAAGUGAAGACAAUGCCUACAGAUGACUCUUCAGUCGGGACCUAUAUUCUUGGAGCAAUCCCAAAGGGAAGCGUGCUCAACACACAGUGUGCUUUCAUGAUGAAAGCACUUACAGAACCUCAGGGCACCCUAUUUCUCAUUAAUUACUGUGUCCAAGAAAAUGAGCAAAAGGACAACGCUAACAAGAUGGCGUGGAGAGAUUCUUUUUCCAGUUCUUGAGGGUCAACCGGGAAACUGGAAAACGUGGUAAGAACACAACUUCCCUCCAUCCUCACUCACCAACAGAGGGGCAGAUGAAGCCUAAGAACACAGGGGCUGGACACAGCAGGUGUUUAGUCAAUACUGAAGAGCUGCGUGGAUAAUUACGUAAGUGAACCCAACAGGUUUUUAUUAGCUCAGGUACCUAAUAUGUUGGGUGGCUGUUGAGACUUAAUGAUGAAAGGCAAGUGAGAGGUGCCCAACACAAUAUCUAGCACGUGACUGGUAUUCAUUUUUGUCAGAUCUAGGAACAUCCAAAAAUAGUCUCCACAAUGAAAUUCAAUUUACCUAUUUACCGGUCAGGGAGAUAGAAUGGGAUGCUCUUUUGCCCAAAUCCUGAAAGUUAAAUUUCCGUUAAGCCAGGCCUCUAAGGCUCACUGUACCCAAAUUCCACAGCAUUGAUGCGUCCUUCCCAUUCUGUAUGCACCCUUACAGAUUUUACGGACGAGAGGCAUCAUGGCUUUGAAACGAAUAAGCAGACAGGCACACUUCAUCCACCACCCACCCCAUCUGCCUCGUCAACCAGGUCCCCACAAUGUGUAGAGUGACAAACUGAAACGGGGGAAGAAGGGAACAGAACAGGGUCAGUCAGAGAAAUAUAAUCCAAAGUAAAAAUCAUUUCUGUUUGGAGCUCACAAAAGAUCUGGGUUACCGUCGGCUGCAAACUGCUGCUCUCCUGGCUGCAGGUCUGGCCGGAAGUCGUUCUCCUCAUCGGAGUCAUCUGGAUGAUGGUGAUUGUUAUCGUGGAUGUUGGCAUUAUUCUGGGCAUUAUUGUCAUUGUCAUUGUUGGAGUUCUGGUUGCUAACAAGGGCCGAGGAAACCCCGAUUCCUGUGCCUGCACUUAGACCAACUCGAGCACAGCCCUAAGGCAAGACGAAACCACAUGCGUGUUCAUUGAAGUUAGUACAGAACACUUCAUUUUUAACAUUCCUUCAUCUUUAUGUAAGAAUAUUUACAUAGCACGACUUUCACAUAUGCAUAAAGGACCUUAUUAAAGGCAAGCAAGACGAAGUGU